rnacentral:rRNA from 1 species
UACGUAGGGAGCAAGCGUUGUUCGGAUUUACUGGGCGUAAAGGGCGCGUAGGCGGCAAUUCAAGUCAUCUGUGAAAUCUCCGGGCUUAACUCGGAACUGUCAGAUGAUACUGCUUUGCUAGAGUGCAGAAGGGGCAAUCGGAAUUCUUGGUGUAGCGGUGAAAUGCGUAGAUAUCAAGAGGAACACCUGAGGUGAAGACGGGUUGCUGGGCUGACACUGACGCUGAGGCGCGAAAGCGUGGGGAGCAAACAGG